rnacentral:rRNA from 1 species
GAUUAUGACGUACUUGUACUGAUUGAGAUUUUAACACGAAGUGAGUGGCGAACGGGUGAGUAACACGUGGGUAACCUGCCCAGAAGUAGGGGAUAACACCUGGAAACAGAUGCUAAUACCGUAUAACAGAGAAAACCGCAUGGUUUUCUUUUAAAAGAUGGCUCUGCUAUCACUUCUGGAUGGACCCGCGGCGUAUUAGCUAGUUGGUGAGGUAAAGGCUCACCAAGGCAGUGAUACGUAGCCGACCUGAGAGGGUAAUCGGCCACAUUGGGACUGAGACACGGCCCAGACUCCUACGGGAGGCAGCAGUAGGGAAUCUUCCACAAUGGACGCAAGUCUGAUGGAGCAACGCCGCGUGAGUGAAGAAGGGUUUCGGCUCGUAAAGCUCUGUUGUUAAAGAAGAACGUGGGUAAGAGUAACUGUUUACCCAGUGACGGUAUUUAACCAGAAAGCCACGGCUAACUACGUGCCAGCAGCCGCGGUAAUACGUAGGUGGCAAGCGUUAUCCGGAUUUAUUGGGCGUAAAGCGAGCGCAGGCGGUCUUUUAAGUCUAAUGUGAAAGCCUUCGGCUCAACCGAAGAAGUGCAUUGGAAACUGGGAGACUUGAGUGCAGAAGAGGACAGUGGAACUCCAUGUGUAGCGGUGAAAUGCGUAGAUAUAUGGAAGAACACCAGUGGCGAAGGCGGCUGUCUGGUCUGCAACUGACGCUGAGGCUCGAAAGCAUGGGUAGCGAACAGGAUUAGAUACCCUGGUAGUCCAUGCCGUAAACGAUGAUUACUAAGUGUUGGAGGGUUUCCGCCCUUCAGUGCUGCAGCUAACGCAUUAAGUAAUCCGCCUGGGGAGUACGACCGCAAGGUUGAAACUCAAAAGAAUUGACGGGGGCCCGCACAAGCGGUGGAGCAUGUGGUUUAAUUCGAAGCUACGCGAAGAACCUUACCAGGUCUUGACAUCUUCUGACAGUCUAAGAGAUUAGAGGUUCCCUUCGGGGACAGAAUGACAGGUGGUGCAUGGUUGUCGUCAGCUCGUGUCGUGAGAUGUUGGGUUAAGUCCCGCAACGAGCGCAACCCUUAUUACUAGUUGCCAGCAUUAAG